UCGCCUGUUUACAAAAACAUAGUUAAGCCAAGCUUAGUCCUCCUGCCCAAUGAUAAAUAUUAAAUGGCCCAUAAGGUAGCAAAAUAAUUUGUCUCUUAAUUAGAGUCAUGCAUGAAGACAGCAUUAGUUAACCCUAUUUUUGCUUAUUAGACGAAUUUAAGUAGCCGGUGCAAACUCCAGCAAUACCCUUUUAGACGAUAAGACCCUAAAACCUUUACUAAGUUUUGCUGGGAUAGCAAAUUAAAAAUAAUAAAACUWCCUCAACUAUUUUUAACCACUAUUGUGCUAACUAAAGGUACUUUAGGGAUAACAGCGUCCCUCCCUUUCCAAGCUCUAAUUUAUAAGGGUAACACGACCUCGAUGUUGAAUUAAGCUCUGGCCAACCGCAGCAGGCUACGCCAGCUAAGUCUGUUCGACUUAUCUACGCUUACAUGAUUGAGUUAAGAUCGACGUAAGCCAGGGUGGGUUU
rnacentral:rRNA from 1 species